CCUACGGGAGGCAGCAGUGAGGAAUAUUGGUCAAUGGUCGGGAGCCUGAACCAGCCAAGCCGCGUGAGGGAUGAAGGUCCAGCGUAUCGUAAACCUCUUUUGUCAGGGAACAAAUGCUGGGACGUGUCCCCUCAUGAGUGUACCUGACGAUCAAGCAUCGGCUAACUCCGUGCCAGCAGCCGCGGUAAUCCGGAGGAUGCGAGCGUUAUCCGGAUUUUUUGGGUUUAAGGGGUGCGCAGGCGGUCUGUUAUGUCUGCGGUAACAGCCCGGUGCUCAACCCCGGUCCGCGGUUGAAACUGGCAGGCUCGAGUGGGAGAGAAGUAGGCGGAAUGCGCGGUGUAGCGGUGAAAUGCAUAGAUAUCGCGAAGAACUCCGAUUGCGAAGGCAGCAUGCCGGCUCCAGACUGACGCUGAGGCACGAAAGCGUGGGUAUCGAACAGGAUUAGAUACCCUUGUAGUC
rnacentral:rRNA from 1 species